AUUUAGAAUCAAUAGGGUCCGAUUAGUUUCCUUUACUGAGUUUAUACAAUGGCUUAGUUAGAAGAGCAAAACCUGGUAUCCAGAGGCGAAAGUACAACCACACCCAGGAAGGAGAGAAGCUGUUAUUUGGCAGAGGGGUGGGGUGUCAGAGAGUAGCUGGACCCGAUCGCUAGGGAGAGCGCGGGUGAGGAUGAUGCCCAGAUAGGUGACAGACGUGGAAGAAAUGUGGGCCAAACCCCCGGAGUGCUCCUAACAACACUCCUAUCUUGCCUGUCCAAAACCGGACAAGUCUUAGCGGCUGGUUCAGGACCUCCGCCUUAUCAAUCAAGUUGUCCUUGAUACCCAACCAGCCACAACUCCCUCAGGGUUUCGGGGACAGCCCACACAACCUGAGUUAGGCCCUUGCUCACGAUUCACUCUCUUGCUGCCCCUCGUCUUUCUACCUUAUUCAAAUUUGGGACUUAGAAGGUGGCCCUCGUUAUCCUUGAUUGAUCCAGAAUGGAGGGGCUUUAGGGGCCCUAGUGCGCCCCUCCAGUGCUGCUGUAUUGUUCAACAGAAGCCCCUAGCUCAUGCAGCUGUUUAAACGUACAUUAGUUAAAUGAAUUCAAUUUCCCGUAAAUCUAAAUUAAACCAGUUCCCUAGUUGCAGUAGCUACACUCAGGUGCAGCUCAGUAGCCAAAAGUAAGUACUUUACUGGGCCAUGCCAACAGAGAACAUUGCCAUCAUCACAGAAAGUCCUAGAGGACAGUGCUAUGCAGACACUAUUCCCAGCCACGGGCAGUGGGGCAGAUCCUUGACGUCAGCCUGGAUCUCGCCAGCUUCCUCCCUGCUCCCUACACCCAGCAGCCUCUGGCUGGGGCCUGCCUCCCCCAAGAGAAACAGUCUGAGGCCGUUCUGCCAUCUGCAGCCUUCUCCUGACACAUGCCCUAAUCUCAGCGACAGCUUCAUUCAGCAGUUAUUCAUGGGGCAUCUCCUGUGUACCAAAAAGGCCACUAGGGCUAUGGUGAUAAAUUAGACGGAGUUCCCAGCCUAAAGAAGCAUACGUUCUAGAGAGAGGAGCAAACGAACAAAGCUUGAUAACAGCAAGGAAACAAAACACGGUAACCGCGUGCAAAGUGGGGGCGAUUCGGCUGAGUGGUCAGGGAAGCCCUGCCUGGGGAGGGGACAUUUCCGCUGAUUUCUAAGUGGGAGAAGAUCUGGGAAUGCACAUUCCAGGCAACAGGAACACCCAGUAGAAAGACCUUAAGGUGGGAAUGAGCUUGUCAAGUUUGAAGGAAAAAAGACCUUUGUGGCAGGGCCAUGGCAGGCGGAGGGAGAGGGCUGGGAAAUCUGGACAGAAAGGCAGGAACCAGGCUGUGUGGUGCUGGAGGUGGGGCCAGCAGGCAGGUUAACUGUAUUCUUAGAUCUGCAGUGUGGUUUCCAGGAAGGAGCUGACAUGAUCUUGUGCAGGGACACCAGCCCAUAUCCAGCUGCAAUUUCCUGGCUCCCCCCACCCAAACACCAGCUUCCCGGGCCUGCAGGUAUCUGUGGCUGCUCUCUGCUAAGCUCAUGUGACAUGCAGCAGAGAGGCAGGGACUAAGUCAGUCAUGCCAGGAUGCAAUAAAACCUCAAGGUCACUAAAAGGCUGAGACGCAUGAGACCACAGAGCCUGACUUUUGAGGACUUGAGCCCACGUUUAAAUGACGAAACAGUUUUGGUGUCUGUGGAGAAAUCAGGGGACACCUUGCCUCCCUGCCAUCUUAGUUAAGCACAUGACGUAUCAAGCUGAAUGAAAACACAAAAGUACUUUUGCAACCUGAGAUGGAUCAAAGUGAGCAAGCACACCCACUCUAACAUCAGCACCUGCCACACCGAGAGCCAGGCUCUAGCCCGUGCUGAGGUCCCAGGGGAGUGGGUGGAUGGUGGCAGGUAGCUGAAAGAACACUCGGGGGUGUAGGCAGAUGAGGUAUGGUUUUCUUCCGCAGCUCUCUUACGCUAUCUCUGUCUUGGCUGCCUGCUCCGGCUCUGCGGCUCCUGCGGCUCCCACGCCGCAGCUGCAUUCCCUGGCCUGCAAGGCCGGCUCUCUCCUACAGGGGCAGAAACUUCACUGUCUCUCUUUGGCCACGAGCUGUAUGCACAGCAUCAGCAGGGCAGUUACACCUCUUGCAAACAGCAGUGGCUCUGAGCCAGGUGACGAACCUUCCCACACUACGGCUACACAGCUGUGAUUAUAUAACAAGCAGAGUAGACGCCCUCCAGUUCAUGUCAGUCCAGAAAGCGUAACAUGUGAGGUCACCACACUGGGUAUCUGGAGUGAGACAGGGACUUCGCCUUAAAGAGCUCAGUUUAGUGGGAGGCGGUUAUGAAAACAUAUCCUUUCAUGAUGUGGAGCAAUGCCUGGAGUGCUAUGGAAACCCAGAGAGAGUCCUGGAAUGUGUGUGUUUCAGGCGUUGGGGGGAGUGGUGAUAUGUAUGUCUAUGCAUGUCCAGUUAGGGAAGCCGGAUGUGCUUCUAUGGGCAGUAAAAGCUACUGAAGAUUUUAAGCAGAAGAGACAAGACCAGAUUUCCUUCUGACAAUCACCAAGGGCGGUGUAUGGGACAGAUCAGACUGUGACACUAGAGGCAGGGAAAUCCAGGAGGAAGGUUAAUACAAUAGCCCAGGAAAAAUAAGAGCAGUGGUAGAGGGCUACAAACAACAGAGCUCAUACAUAUGCAAAAGCCACAGGGUUCUGCUUUGGUGACUCGGUAGGGGAAACCGCAAGAAGCAGGGCUAUACACAGGGGUGGGGACAGGUCGGGGAAGUUCCACUAAAUGACCUCAACAUUGGCAAAAUAAAUCUCAAAAUUGAUUGAGAUCUGCCUCACUUGUUGGUUUACCUAUGUGAUGACCUUUGCAGAGAGGAGAAUCAAGGAAGAAGGACUUUAUUCUACCAGAACAAACUACUGUUAAAGCAGAAAAUGAGCGCGGAAAAACAAAUUUCUCUUCUUCUCUGUAGUCUGAUAAAUGAAAGUUAUUGUUUUUCACCUGAGCAGCACAGGUCACUGUGACAUGUCUCGGCAGGCCUGGAUUGCAGUCACCCAGGCCCCACAGUGAAGCACGCAGGAUAAGCCGUGCAAGGGAAAGACAGUGGCCAUCUGCGCCACAUAGCACAAGUCAUACGUAAGCCUAAGUUGUAAACUUGUCAUUUUUUAUAAACUGCCUUUGUUCUGCUCCUGCCUUUCAUGUAUAAAAGUCAAGCUUGGUCUUAGUUCAGUGCCCAGUCUUUUGGAUGUGAAUCCACUGAGCGGGUGCACACCUUAAUAAAAUCCUCCUGUUCUA